rnacentral:sRNA from 1 species
UAACUUCAAUUCUUCACAUGCAGCACA